UACGGAGGGGGCGAGCGUUCUUCGGAAUUAUUGGGCGUAAAGGGCGCGUAGGCGGCUUGAUAAGUCAAAGGUGAAAUCCCUCGGCUCAACUGAGGAACUGCCUUUGAAACUGUCAGGCUUGAGGCCGGGAGGGGGUAGCGGAAUUCCCAGUGUAGCGGUGAAAUGCGUAGAUACUGGGAGGAACACCGGUGGCGAAGGCGGCUACCUGGACCGGUUCUGACGCUGAGGCGCGAAAGCGUGGGUAGCAAACAGG
rnacentral:rRNA from 1 species